rnacentral:lncRNA from 1 species
CAAAAAACAAAAGUUACAUGAUGUAGAACCCAAUACAAAACAAACAUCCCAAAAAACAAGAACCCAGCAACUUGAUAUCAGAAGGGCAACUUUCAUCUUGACCUUGCAGCAGAAGUGAUAAAGCAGGAGGAAGCUUGCAUGAAAAUCUGGCAGUCCACAAUAGAUGGCAGUAGUGCAGUGAUAUGCAAAACAUCCCUGACAACACAUAGCAGCAAAAUAUAACUAGAAAACCGAAAUUUGAAAACUGCAUAUUUUUCUUCAAUUGUAAACUGACAAACAUAUUUAUCUUUAAUUGAAAACUGACAAACUGAAAAGCUGCAUAUGCUGUCAAAGGAUGAGAAGAGUCACUUGAAGCUUUAACUUUUAUAUUCACUGAACACUUGCACAAACCAAUUGAUGCAAUUGAUGAACUGCCUCAAUAUAUUUUGUAUUUCCACUUGAAGAGAUAACCAGCAGCCCAUUAUAUAUAUGUCAGCAGCAACACAAAUAGCAACUUAACCUCUCACAACUUCGCAAUAGAAACAGAAUGCAGAGCUAACAGUCUACUGAAAGAUCCUGCCCUCAUAAGAAUAUGACGUCCCACAGCUGAACACGUGUAUACCAGUAGCACAACAACAAUGUAACUCCAAUUUCUUCAAUAACACGAAAACAGCUGAAAAUUUGACACCAUCUCACAAAUAAGCAGAUCAAGCACACAGACCCAUACACUCAAACCAUGAUCCAAACCACUAGGCCAAUUCACCAGUCCGAAAACAAGAUAUAAAACUGCUUCGUCACCUUUUUCUUUGGUUGACGGCAGACACAACUUCAAUAAAAGAAAAAUGGAAAACUGACGAUAUCAAGCAUAACAGCUCAGACCAGAGCAAGAGUCCAUGAAGCAAGCGACUGAGCUACCCAUUCAACAAGAUUAUACCAAAUUGUGCUGGAUGCUCUACAAUAUGAAGAGAGUCACAAUAGGCAGAGAUGCACAUCUAACCAGAAUGGACUACUGCAGAAUUGAAUGAGGCAAAUCAUAAUUGAAUGCAACAACUUCCAAAUAACAGAGGGGCCAGAAACUACUUCACCAAAUUCAGACAUGUACUGCACACUAGAGCCAUAGAUCCAAUCCAUAAUCCAAAAUUAUCAUGCGACAUCACCAGUCCAAAAACAAAGGAAAAUUCUUCAAUCUUAAACUUCAACUUCAACUUUGAUAAAAAUAAUAAACUGGAAAACUGAUAAUCGGAGCACAACAUCUAAGACCAUAAAGAGAUUCCAAAAAUUCAAGUGAGAGAGGAGACUGAAUCGGAAAAGAAUUACCAACCCCUACUUCUGCAUCUGAAAGAUAGCCACAUCUCACCAUCAAAUCAAAAGCCCACGAUAUUCACCCUCAAAAUACUCAUAUCACCCAUCCAGAUUCAUAUCCCUAAAGCUCUCUGAACAGUUCAAACAGCGAGAAAAAAGAGAAGCUAGAGAUGAUGAUACCAGAGAUGCCGGAGAAAGAGAUUCCAUAUUCGGAAAUUGAAGUCGGCGCGAACGGCGAAGUAAGACCGGGCAGCGAUGACGAUGACCAAGAAGAGGACUGCUCG